GGUAAAAUGGCUGAAAAAUAAGCAGGCGAUAAAUUGUAAAUUUAUUAAUGAUUAAAAAUCUUUUACUG
rnacentral:tRNA from 1 species